CAGAAUUAUUGUUUCGCUUCCUGGAUUGCCACUAGAGAUAGCAAUCUGUGUUCUAGCAAAUCUGACUUAGGGCAGACCGGCUACCUGGGUUGUUUAUUGAUAAGGGCAGUCUCUCUUUGCAUAGGCUUGGUGGUUCAUAAGGAUGUGUGGACCUCGUGCAGUAAAUUCCAUGAAGGCCCCACAGAAAGGAACACAUUUCUUUAAAAUAUCGGAAAAUAAUGUCAUGCUUCAUGGGACUCAGAUGUGUUUUGUAACCAGCCAUUUGCUUGGACUUCUGGGCCCCCAACGGCCAGAUACUUCCAAGUCGGUGUGCCCUUCUCUCUUGAGUAAGAGAGUCCAACAAGCCAGGCCACUAGGUGAGGUCUUUAGAGUGGCACAUCAUUUUCGAGGUUGCUAUUCAAUUAAUCAUUUCUGUCAUAACUACAAUAUCCCUUUGGAUUGUGUGCUUCUGGAAAACCAUCACAGCUGGAGGAGUGGCCCUAACUCCCUGCUUAUCCUGCAAACAGAUCAAAUGGCCUGGGG